UUAUACUGUCCAACAUAAAGAUAUUUUUUAAACCUGAUUUCCUUUUUUAAUUAUCUCUUAAGUAAUUUUGUCUCUGAACAUUCUGGCUUUCUGUUAUUACCAAUAUAAUGAUUGUUUCUACAUUGCAGAAACAAGAUCACCAGCUAUCAUGAUCCUAAACUAUGGAGAAUAACCAGUGCAUUGUUAUCAUGAAUAAUCCAAAGUUUUCAUGCAUAUAGAGGAUGACUGCAGCCACAUAGACAACAGUAUCUCUUAAGUCAAUAUUCAACGGUAGUCAACUUCCCUAAGGUGACUGCUACUGAUGAGAAUAAUAAUAGUCUGGAAAAUAAAAUGCAUAUUUGUGAAUGGAUUGAAAAACAGAAAAUAAAAAAAAGUAAAAUAUAUAUAUUUUUUUAAAAAUCUGAAA